rnacentral:rRNA from 1 species
CCUACGGGGGGCAGCAGUAAGGAAUAUUGGUCAAUGGACGCAAGUCUGAACCAGCCAUGCCGCGUGGAGGAUGAAGGCCCUCUGGGUUGUAAACUUCUUUUAUCUGGGACGAAAAAGGGACUUUCUAGUUCAACUGACGGUACCAGAGGAAUAAGCACCGGCUAACUCCGUGCCAGCAGCCGCGGUAAUACGGAGGGUGCAAGCGUUAUCCGGAUUCACUGGGUUUAAAGGGUGCGUAGGUGGGCAGGUAAGUCAGUGGUGAAAUCUUUGGGCUUAACCCGAAAACUGCCAUUGAUACUAUUUGUCUUGAAUAUUGUGGAGGUCAGCGGAAUAUGUCAUGUAGCGGUGAAAUGCUUAGAUAUGACAUAGAACACCAAUUGCGAAGGCAGCUGGCUACACAUAUAUUGACACUGAUGCACGAAAGCGUGGGGAUCAAACAGGAUUAGAUACCCUGGUAGUCCACGCCCUAAACGAUGGAUACUCGACAUACGCGAUAUACUGUGUGUGUCUGAGCGAAAGCAUUAAGUAUCCCACCUGGGAAGUACGAUCGCAAGAUNGAAACUCAAAGGAAUUGGCGGGGGUCCNCACANGCGGUGGAGCAUGUGGUUUAAUUCGAUGAUNCNCGAGGAACNUUACCUGGGCUAAANUGCAUUUUUGACCGUGGGUGAAAACCUCCNUUUGNANCAANACNNAU